rnacentral:rRNA from 1 species
GCCCUACGGGGAGCGGUCGAAGGUGGGGCUGGUGAUUGGGACGAAGUCGUAACAAGGUAGCCGUACCGGAAGGUGCGGCUGGAUCACCUCCUUUCUAAGGA